rnacentral:rRNA from 1 species
GACGAACGCUGGCGGCGUGCUUAACACAUGCAAGUCGAACGAAGAGCGAUGGAAGCUUGCUUCUAUCAAUCUUAGUGGCGAACGGGUGAGUAACGCGUAAUCAACCUGCCCUUCAGAGGGGGACAACAGUUGGAAACGACUGCUAAUACCGCAUACGAUCUAACCUCGGCAUCGAGGAUAGAUGAAAGGUGGCCUCUACAUGUAAGCCAUCACUGAAGGAGGGGAUUGCGUCUGAUUAGCUAGUUGGAGGGGUAACGGCCCACGAAGGCGAUGAUCAGUAGCCGGUCUGAGAGGAUGAACGGCCACAUUGGGACUGAGACACGGCCCAGACUCCUACGGGAGGCAGCAGUGGGGAAUCUUCCGCAAUGGACGAAAGUCUGACGGAGCAACGCCGCGUGAGUGAUGACGGCCUUCGGGUUGUAAAGCUCUGUUAAUCGGGACGAAAGGCCUUCUUGCGAAUAGUGAGAAGGAUUGACGGUACCGGAAUAGAAAGCCACGGCUAACUACGUG